CACACAUACAUAUUUGUAUGGAUUCUAUAUUCAUGUGUGUGCAUUUAGUUCUUUGGGAGUUGAAAAACUGAGAUUACAAGAACAUGAAGUAAAUUGAAAAAUUUUCCUUUGAUAUUUCAGGUACCAAACGGUAGUUAAUUAUGAUCAGAUGGAUUAUCAUGCCUAUUGCUUCCUUAAAUUCUUUACAUUUUAGGUGGAUUAGCGCUACUAGGAAAGGAAACUAAAUCUUUAAGCAUUAAGAAUUUAGCUAAUUGUAAAUUAAAUGUUGAUAGGUUUCGAAUUUGGUCCUCGCGCUGGUUCCGGCAGGCAAUUGUUUGAAGAUAAGGAGUCUCAGACGCGGUAUUUAUCACUAAAGUUGAAGCUUAGUAGCUCAACAAGAAUUAUAUAGUCUAAUUUGAUAUAAUUAUGUGUUUACUAAAAAUGUGAAAAAAAUGGUGACACAAGGUUGAUGUAGCUCAAGGGUACAUGACUAACUCUGACCUGGGACAGGCCAUUAAGGCGUUCGGCCAAAGAUGCAGUAACAUUUCUACGGCUUACAGGUGAUUACUUGGGCUUGUGCAUUUUUAACAUUUGCCAGAUUAUAAUUUUACCACUUGUUAGUAGAAAUAAAACAAUUGUAUUUGUUAGUAGUAGUUUUAGCUGGAUAAAUACAGGAGUUUAAUUGUAGGAUUUUUGUUUAGGCAUCUCAUGAUGAUUAUGCUGAUUUAUUCUUUUUAUUCUCCUGUUGAGGGAUUUUUCAAAUGGAUUAUCAGUUUUGGGAAGAGUGUGAAUAGGGUUCUGCUGGUAAUCGUUUCACUGAAGUUUCCUCUUUGUUUUUGAUCGCUUUAGUUUUAUUUAUUAUAAUAACAUCUUGACUCACAUCUUAUGAAGUUGGUAAUGUUUGAUGUAUUAUUGCUUGUAGUGGGUAGUAGCAAUUUCUGCUACGCCCGGGGUGGAAGAGCCUGAAGCUGCCAUUUGGAAACAACACUUAUCAAAUGGCUCGGUUGAUAAAGAGAUUGGGCACUUUAUUUUCCAUGAAGGACUUGGUUCCUCUCAACUACUUCCUAGGUGUUGAAGGAACUUGCUAUGGUGAUCAAAUGCAUCUCACACAGUCCAAAUGUCCUGGACUUGCUGGAACGUACUAAAUUUACCAAUGCCAAGCCAAUCUCGACUCCAGUUUCUUCUGGACAAAAACAGAGUGCUUUUGGGGAUGAAUCAUAUACUAAUCCUGAAUUAUACCGAAGUGUUGUAGGUGCCCUACAUUAUUUGACCAUUACGAGACCUGAUCUUUCUUAUGUUGUGAACCAAGUGUGUCAAUUCAUGCAUUCGCCAACAACACGCAUUGGAUGACAGUUAAAAGGAUCCUACGUUAUUUGUAGGCUACCUAUUUAUAGGGUCUUGUUUAUAGACCUGGAAGUGUACAAUUGACUGC